rnacentral:tRNA from 1 species
AGGCUAGGUAGCAUAAAUGGUUAAUGCGAAAGAUUGCAAAUCUUUUGAAAAUGGUUCAAAUCCAUUUCUAGCUUU